rnacentral:rRNA from 1 species
AUUGAACGCUGGCGGCAGGCUUAACACAUGCAAGUCGAGCGGUAACAUUUCUAGCUUGCUAGAAGAUGACGAGCGGCGGACGGGUGAGUAAUACUUAGGAAUCUACCUAGUAGUGGGGGAUAGCUCGGGGAAACUCGAAUUAAUACCGCAUACGACCUAUGGGAGAAAGGGGGCAACUUGUUGCUCUCGCUAUUAGAUGAGCCUAAGUCGGAUUAGCUAGAUGGUGGGGUAAAGGCCUACCAUGGCGACGAUCUGUAGCUGGUCUGAGAGGAUGAUCAGCCACACCGGGACUGAGACACGGCCCGGACUCCUACGGGAGGCAGCAGUGGGGAAUAUUGGACAAUGGGGGAAACCCUGAUCCAGCCAUGCCGCGUGUGUGAAGAAGGCCUUUUGGUUGUAAAGCACUUUAAGCAGUGAAGAAGACUCUUCGGUUAAUACCCGGAGACGAUGACAUUAGCUGCAGAAUAAGCACCGGCUAACUCUGUGCCAGCAGCCGCGGUAAUACAGAGGGUGCAAGCGUUAAUCGGAAUUACUGGGCGUAAAGCGAGCGUAGGUGGCUUGAUAAGUCAGAUGUGAAAUCCCCGGGCUUAACCUGGGAACUGCAUCUGAUACUGUUAGGCUAGAGUAGGCGAGAGGAAGGUAGAAUUCCAGGUGUAGCGGUGAAAUGCGUAGAGAUCUGGAGGAAUACCGAUGGCGAAGGCAGCCUUCUGGCAUCAUACUGACACUGAGGCUCGAAAGCGUGGGUAGCAAACAGG